rnacentral:rRNA from 1 species
UACGUAGGGUGCGAGCGUUAAUCGGAAUUACUGGGCGUAAAGCGCGCGCAGGCGGUUCUUCAAGUCAGAGGUGAAAGCCCAGAGCUCAACUCUGGAAUGGCCUUUGAGACUAGAGAACUAGGGUACGGGAGAGGUGAGUGGAAUUCCGAGUGUAGAGGUGAAAUUCGUAGAUAUUCGGAAGAACACCAGUGGCGAAGGCGGCUCACUGGCCCGUUACCGACGCUGAGGCACGAAAGCGUGGGGAGCAAACAGG